UACGAAGGGUGCAAGCGUUACUCGGAAUUACUGGGCGUAAAGCGUGCGCAGGCGGUUCGUUAAGUCUGUCGUGAAAGCCCUGGGCUCAACCUGGGAAUUGCGAUGGAUACUGGCGAGCUAGAGUGCGGCAGAGGAUGGUGGAAUUCCCGGUGUAGCGGUGAAAUGCGUAGAGAUCGGGAGGAACACCCGUGGCGAAGGCGGCCACCUGGACCAGCACUGACGCUGAGGCACGAAAGCGUGGGGAGCAAACAGG
rnacentral:rRNA from 1 species